GGAAUCUUCCACAAUGGACGAAAGUCUGAUGGAGCAACGCCACGUGAGUGAAGAAGGGUUUCGGCUCGUAAAACUCUGUUGUUAAAGAAGAACAUAUCUGAGAGUAACUGUUCAGGUAUUGACGGUAUUUAACCAGAAAGCCACGGCUAACUACGUGCUAG
rnacentral:rRNA from 1 species